UGAGUGGGGUCCCGGAGCUGUUGUUGCCUGGGAAGGGGGUCCGGCCCUGACUGUGAGUGGGGUCCUGGAGCUGUUGUUGCCUGGGAAGGGGGUCCAGCCCUGGCUGAGUGGGGUCCCGGAGCUGUUGUUGCCUGGGAAGGGGGUCCCGCCCUGGCUGAGUGGGGUCCCGGAGCUGUUGUUGGCUGGGAAGGAGGUCCGGCUCUGACUGUGAGUGGGGUCCUGGAGCUGUCAUUGGUUGGGAAGGGGCUUAUUCCGGGGCCGUCCCCAGGGCUUCUUUUCAGGGUGGACCGUGUGAGGUGCAGCCAUUACCCUGAGAGCAUGAGAUGAAGGUGCUGGCAGGUGCUUGCAGCACUGGAGGCAGGUUGUCCUGAUUCUGCGUCUGUCCUUUGGGUACUUGGAAAGCAUCUUCAUGCCUAUGUCCACCUUCUGCACUCCCACCACGUCCUGUGGCCUUGUGUGCUCCUAUCAUGUGGCCGACCCUGUGCUGUCUCACAGGGGCUGGAGCUGGUGCUGAGCUGGGUGCGUCUCAGGCCCACCACGUCCGCAAACAAGGGAGUGGUCUGGCGGCCGAGGCUUACGGGCUCUGAGACCCAUCAGGGAACAGACGGGUCAGGCUGGGAGGUCUCAGGUGUGUGAGCCUGCGGGGCAGAGGAGCUCCUGAGGGAAAAUGCAUCCCAGGGGCCUCGCAGGGUGGGGCCUCACGGAAGAAGGAACACUAGAAGGACAGUGGGGAUGGAGCCCCCUCUCUCUACAGGCCCGGCCGGCUCAUCUGUGGGGUGUGCAGAGUGGGACCUGCACCUCCAGGGUUGCCACUGGACCGACUGAGAUAGAGCCUGUGAGAGGCGGGUAGUGGAGUGUUCCCAAAUUUACUGAGGCUUGACAGAGGGACAAGCCAAAGCAUGAGGCUGCCAGAUGCCAGGCUGGGUUGUUCAGAGGGUAUCCUGUGGAGGUUUUCUGAGACACGGAAAUAUAAAACGAUCUUCCUUGGAGGAGAGAACUGGGGCUGGGCUGCGCUGUCCUGGUGUGAGGCAGGGUGGCCAGCCAGAGGCCCAGGCCGCUCCCGGGAGCCCCGGCCAUGCUUGGCAUGUUCAGACCCUGCAGCCAUGGAUGCUGCGGUGGAACCGGGGUCUGCGGGGACCCAGAGCUUCUCGCUUUGGUGGCUGGGCCAGGAUCCUUAGCAGGGCGUUGUGUCUCUGGGGUGCAGAACAAAAAUGUAAGGAGUCACCAACGUUUCCUUCCUCACUCUGCCCUCGCACGUGCUCCGCAGGAGCUUGGACAUCCUGCGCGCGUGACUCCCUGGGAGUUUGCAUGCAUCUGUCAGCAGAGGUUCCCGUGCUGUGUGGGUGUUCACCGCGUGGGUGGCGCAGUCGACGAUGCACGGAGGUCAGUGGGAGGCGUGGCAUGGUGUGGCCUUGAGGGGAUGCUGGAUGGAAGACAGCUGAGUGGCCAGUGCCUGACAAGCCCUGUCCUGCCCGGGAUGGGAGGGGGACGCAUUUGCCCCCCCCAUGAGUAUGGUUCCGGAAUGAAGUGAAUAUAUAAGCAGGUAAUGAUGGUUACAGAUGUGUAUUUACACAUAUAAAUCCAUGCUAGGUAAACGAUAUCAUACAAAUAUAUCCUGAUAUGUAUUUUCAUUGAAAGUCUACCCCAAAGUACCAAGCCUGUUUAAGGUACAGGAAACUGUUUAGAGUGGACAUCACCAGACUUUGGGGCCCCACAUGUGCCCUUGGGCCUGUGAUGGUGCCGAUUCUGGCCCACACCAGGGCGCCUGUCCUCCUCUGUCUGGGGACAGCCAGGAAUCUGCACUUCCAGGCUUUCCAGGGGUCCCAGUGGACAGCUCAUGGAUCACACUUUAGAGGCUUGGAUUCAAUUCAUAUGGGUGCACACACAUGCCUGUCCACACGCACUGUAAUAUAAAUGUAGGCACACGUGUUCCAAGCUGUAGUGUGUACAUGUACACACACACGUGUGCGUACACACACUGUAAGCUAAAUGUAGACACAUAUAUGUUCCAAGCUGUAGUUCGUACAGGUGUGCCCACACGCCUGUCCACACACACUGUAAACUAAAUGUAGACACACAUGUGUUCCAAGCUUUAGCUCGUACAGCUGCACACACACAUGCCUGUCCACACACUCUGUAAGCUAAAUGUAGACACGUGUGUCCAAGCUGUAGCUCAUACAGCUGCACGCACACGCCUGUCCACCCACACUGUAAGCUAAAUGUAGACACUUGUGUCCAAGCUGUAGUUCAUACAGCUGCACACACCCACCCAUGCCUGUCCACACACACUGUAAACUAAGUGUAGGCACACGUGUUCUAAGCUAUAGCUCAUACAGGUGCACACACAUGCCUGUCCACACACACUGUAAGCUAAAUGUAGACACACAUGUGUUCCAGGCUGUAGCUCGUACAGCUGCACACACGUGCCUGUCCACACA